GUGACGGCGCUCCCAGGAGAAGAUAUUCCAUGUGUGGAGUUGUUACGCUAUCUCUAGGAAUGACAGGAGGCUUGGGCUGCGCGCCUGUAACUCCAGCAUUCUGGGAGGCUGAGGAAAGAGCAUGGCAAGUUCAAGCCCUGCCUGGGCCAGUGAGACCCGUCUCGGAAUGAAAGCCCGCUCUGGCUCCCAGGACCCUGGGCAGGAGCUGCCAUGGCCGUUGCCAUCUAUAUCCGAGGGCUUGGUGGAAGAGGAGUCCCUUCCCACUACAUUCACUGGGCGGGGUGUUCACAGUGACCUUGAAGGGUGUGGGCUCCUGGGUCAGGGGCCGCUGAUGUGCACUGAGCAACUGGGCAUGGCCCACACACUCAAGCAGGUUCGGGUCUAGCUUGGGUCGGGGGAUGCGUUAGGUGCAGGACACACAGGGCCAGUGCAAAGGCCCAGGGGCAGGAGGAGCUGGGUGCAUUCAGGAGGAGAGGAGGACAGAGUUAGGGGUGCUCAGCAGGGUCGUGGCGUGCAGCCUGGGUCAGGGAGAGGUCUGGGGUGUGUAAGGUGGUCCUCUGAGUGCUGAGGGGAGGAGGGACACAGGGUCACCUGCUCCAGGCAUCAAGCGGCAAAUGAGGUUAGGGACAAGGCUGGCAGGGCCCUUGAAUGCUGGAAAAGCAGGAGCUGGCAGGCUGGGCCAGUUCAGAGGGGAGUGCCUGGUGACGGGGGUCCGUGUGUCCCACCUGCAGGUGACCCUGGCCCCUACCUUGGAUGGGCAGCGAUGCAAGAGCGGUCGGAGGAGCUGUGGCACCAGGUCCUGGCAGCCCCAGUGCUGACCGGAUGACUGCCUACCUGCCCAGGUCCUGGUGUUUCGAGUCCAGCCCUGGAUCUACUCCCCGACCUUCCCCGCGGAAGGUUUCGCCGCAAAGAUUUCUCCUUCAGCCGUUGUCACUGGGGUGUCAUCCACGACGACAGCCACCGACGCGGCCACUCAGGGACCACAUCCCGGAAGGCCGGGCCCUCAUCCACCGGCUCACCCCAUCCUGUCUCGGUUCCACCCUGGCACCAGGGCCUGAGUCGGGGCGCAGCGUGGGGAGAACCCCAAGGCCUGGGGACCCGAGUGGGCCCGGCUCGGAAGCCAUCCCGAGAGCUGGGGUUCAGCGCCGGCCAAGACUGAGGGUGCGAGCCGGGCCAGGGGACCGGAGGACAGGAGGACCGGCGACAUCCCCAUCCAGCGGAGCUCGGGGCUCCGGGCCUCCGCCACCUCUGGACACCACCACCAGCCGCUCCUCAGGCGCAGGUUCUGGGUUCUGCUCGCUGCCUCAGCGUCC
rnacentral:lncRNA from 1 species